rnacentral:lncRNA from 1 species
AUGAUACCAUCAGGAAAUCCUACUGGAUCAUUCCUCCUCAUGUCUUCCCUCCCUCCUUCCUGCUCCCUUUCUUUCCGUUGCUUAGAGAAGAUUUUGUUUUUCUUCCUGGAAGGUAAACACCGGCUUACCUACCUCUCUGUGAACAGGGUAACUGGUCCAACAUUUCUUUUGCCAGGUAUUCAACUAAUUCCUGGUUUUCGGUUUUGUGCCUCACACCUGUCCUCCUCCUUGAUGACAUUUGUAGGUUUCUUCUGCAAAGUCUGUUUCCCACCUCCACUGUAGAUUUAUCCUGCACACACUGGACUGUAGCUGUCUCUGCUCUGUUUGUCAUCAGUUGCGCCUCUGGGCCUUCUCUCUUUCAGAAUGUAUUUAUGAAUUUAUCUCCUGUGGAUUUCUUUACUUUCACUAAGUUUUUAAUCUAUUAGUUAGAGUGGGUCAUAUUAUGAUGCAGUAACAAACAAACCCUGAUAUCUCAGUGGCUUCAUCCAAUCAAGGUGUAUUUCUGCCUCACACAAAGUCCAGUUUGAUGCUCCUGUUUGGGCAGCUCUUCUGGUCAGUUCUCCUCAAAACUGUGAGUGCUUCACUUCUUUUUUUUUUUUUUUUCCUGCUUUACUACUGUGCUAUUAAGUAUAUAUAUCAUAUUUUACUAAAGCAUCGCCUGAUCAUUGGGUCUUUAGAUCAUUCCAAUGUUUUGCUUUUAUAAGCAUUGCUGCUACAAACUUUUAAAAACAUAUUUUAAAUUUUUCUUCACUUAGAAUGUUUCCUUAGACAUGGAAUUACUGAAUAAAGAGUCUAAAAAAAUUUUAAUGUCUACCAAAUUGCUCUCCAGAAGGCUUUUUCAGUCUCUUCUCCCACAACAUUAUUAUUGUUAUUUUCUAAUUUAA